rnacentral:rRNA from 1 species
CGCAUCUGUGCAUGCAGCAUAUCAAUAAGCGGAGGAAAAGAAACUAACAAGGAUUCCCCUAGUAACGGCGAGUGAAGCGGGAAGAGCUCAAAUUUGAAAUCUUAAAGGGUUUCCCUUUACGAAUUGUAGUUUAAAGAAGUGUUUUCUGUUGAGGUUUUGGUAAAAGUUCUUUGGAAUAGGACAUCAUAGAGGGUGAGAAUCCCGUAUUUGACCUUUACUUUCAACUUUGUGAUACACUUUCAAAGAGUCGGAUUGUUUGGGAAUGCAGUCCAAAAUGGGUGGUAAAUUUCAUCUAAAGCUAAAUAUUGGCGAGAGACCGAUAGCGAACAAGUACCGUGAGGGAAAGAUGAAAAGAACUUUGAAAAGAGAGUUAAACAGUACGUGAAAUUGUCAAAAGGGAAGCGUUUGACACCAGUGUUGUUUUUCUGAAAAUCAAUUAAGGAACUGUUUAUGCUAAGCUGUUUAGACUUUAUCAGCUAACUGUUUAGUUUUGAGCUUUUCUUUAAUGCACUUUUCAGUUAACAAGUCAACAUCAAUUUCUUUUGCUGUAAAAAAGCUUGAGGAAGGUGGCUUGAGAUUCGUCUUAAGUGUUUAUAGCCUCUUGCCUAUGCAGUCGGAGAGAUUGAGGUCUGCAGCGUAGAUCCUUCGGGGCUAAAUGCAUUUGUGCUAAGUUAUAGCAUUUUAUAGACAACUUGUUGACUAUGAUUUGUCUUGUAGCUUACUCGCUUAUGUUAUUUUACCUACGCUUAGGAUGUUGAGCGCAUGUCUCUCUC